rnacentral:rRNA from 1 species
ACACGUGGGUAACCUGCCUUAUAGUGGGGGAGUAGCCUUUCGAAAGGAAGGUUAAUACCGCAUAAGAUUGUAGUAUCGCAUGAUAUAGCAAUUAAAGGAGCAAUUCGCUAUAAGAUGGACCCGCGUCGCAUUAGCUAGUUGGUGAGGUAAUGGCUCACCAAGGCGACGAUGCGUAGCCGACCUGAGAGGGUGAUCGGCCACAUUGGGACUGAGACACGGCCCAGACUCCUACGGGAGGCAGCAUG